rnacentral:lncRNA from 1 species
GAACAUUCUACAAAAACAGCUGACCUAUACUCACCAAAAUGCCAAGGUCAUGACAGGCAAGCAAAGAUUGAAGAAAGCUUCCAGAUUAAAGAAGACUGAGGAAACUCAACAGCCAAAUGCUCUCAGCCUCCUGUGUGCAAGCAGAGUUGCUAUGGUGCCAUCGCUUAUACUUGCAUCUGACACUUCUACGUUAGAGACCACCAAUCAAAAUCCUCAGUGGGCUUACGAGCAGAAUCCAGACCCAUCUCAGCCCCCAUCCCCUCCCACCUACCAUCUGGAUCUCCCUGCAGUGAUGGGAGCAGCAGGAGAAAGCAGAAAGAAACAUCUCCCCGCCCCCACCCCCUCCACCAUUAACUGCUGCAACCACCAGAAGCAGGAUCUAGAAAAAGAAGCCCCGAAGUCAUGAUUUUCCUCCAUUUUCCGCACCUUGCUGACCUGACAAGAACUUUAAGAGAUCCUGGAAGCCAGCUGCCAUGCUGUGAACUGCUCUAUGGAGAGCCUCAUGUGGAAAGGAACUGAUGUCUCCAGCCAACAGCCACAUGAAUGAAUUUAGAAGUGGAUCUUCCAUCAUUUGAGACUUGAGAUGACAGCAGUCCCAGACAAGCCCUUAACUGCAGACUUGUGAGAGGCCCUGAGCCAGAGAGGUUUCCUGGCAUCAGAGAAGGAAGUAGGACGGAAAGCUGAGAAAUCCAGCUCUGACUUGAAGUGAGAAGUUCAAAGUCAGCCUGAGCUUGCACAGAAGUAUAUGCCAUAGCUUCAGCUAAAAUCACAGACUGGGAACAAAGGACAAAAGAUGACAAAAGAAAACCAACCAAGACAUCAUUGCAACAAUCCAGAGACUUCUCUUCCUGAAGAGUCUAAGCCAUUCAACAAAACACAUACCAGGACGGUGAACUCACCUAAAUAGGAAGACCUUGGAACAAGCUCCUCAGCUAGUAGGAUUCAUCGCCUGAUUGGACCCAAAGCUGUUCCACAAUUUGGAUUGAAAUAAGCAAUUUUUAACCAGUAGGUCAUUAAUGUGGUUACAGGGUUGACUGAAUUGACCUACCAAUUCAACCAAGUAGGUUAGUAGGAAAUUAGUCUAAAUAUUAAAAAAUUAAUUGUGAAGAAG